AAUAGAUACCCGGGUAGUCCACGCCGUAAACGAUGGAUGCUAGCUGUUAUGCGUAUCGACCCGUGUAGUAGCGAAGCUAACGCGUUAAGCAUCCCGCCUGGGGAGUACGAACGCAAGUUUAAAAUUCAAAGGAAUUGACGGGGACCCGCACAAGCGGUGGAGCGUGUUCUUUAAUUCGAGGCUAAGCGAAGAACCUUACCAGGGCUUGACAUCCUUGGAAUUUCUCCGAAAGGAGAGAGUACUUUAUUGGACCAAGUGACAGGUGCUGCAUGGCCGUCGUCAGCUCGUGUCGUGAGAUGUUUGGUUAAGUCCAUUAACGAGCGCAACCCUUAUGAAUAGUUGUAUUUUUCUAUUCAGACUGCCCCGGUAACGGGGAGGAAGGGGGGGAUGAUGUCAGGUCAGUAUUGCCCUUACGCCCUGGGCUAGAAACGCGCUACAAUGGCCGGUACAAUGCGCUGCCAACCCGCGAGGGGGAGCAAAUCGCAUCAAAGCCGGUCCCAGUUCGGAUAAGAGGCUGAAACUCGCCUCUUUGAAGCCGGAAUCGCUAGUAAUCGU
rnacentral:rRNA from 1 species